AAAUUCGUCUCUAGGGGGAUA
rnacentral:miRNA from 1 species